UACGUAGGGUGCAGGCGUUAAUCGGAAUUACUGGGCGUAAAGCGUGCGCAGGCGGUCUUUUAAGUCAGAUGUGAAAUCCCCGGGCUUAACUUGGGAACUGCGUCCGAUACUGGAGGGCUUGAGUGCGGGAGAGGGAUGUGGAAUUCCAGGUGUAGCGGUGAAAUGCGUAGAUAUCAGGAGGAACACCAGCGGCGAAGGCGGCGCUCUGGGCUGGAACUGACGCUGAGGAGCGAAAGCGUGGGGAGCGAACAGG
rnacentral:rRNA from 1 species